GAUGAAGGGUCGAGCCUGAGGGACUUCCCAUUUUUCAGUGUGUGUGUCGUGGUGGCGAGGAGCGGUGGUGUAGCUUCCUUUGGCUGCUGCUUCUCCUUUCUUUUCCCCCUUUAGUCUUUUUUAACGUUUGUCCUCGUGUUCCUCUUCCUCCUCGUUGCCUUUCCAUCGUUAUCGUUAUCAUCAUCCUCGCCCUCUCCGCUGGCUUUGUGUUUCUCACCUUACAUCUGCAGAUGAGGCUCACCCUCCUCUUCCUUUUUCUGCUGCUUCAACGCUUCUCGAUUUUAAUUUUCUUUCUCUUCGUUCUCAUCUUUUAUCUUGUCCUCCACCGCUCCUCUCCACACGAACAAGGACACACACAAGCCACAUUGUCAAUGUCGAUCCGGUGUCAUUGCAACGUCUUGUUCAGUCGUGAUGGUCCUCGUCCAGCUCCUCGCCACCUCACCACACGCCACCACCGUCCCUGUUGAUGCUGCGUCAACUUUAUUGGAUAAUGUUUGGAGGCGGCUGUCAAAAAGGAAGAGAUGUCUCAGCGUGCCAAAUAGCAGUGAAGAAGUUAAGAAUCCUUGGCAUCAGAGUGCAAAGCGAAAAUUGGCUUGUCAGACGAUAGGUAAGGACGAUACCUCACAGCUAGCGAGUAAAGUGGGGACCGGCAGCAAUCAGGGAAGGACUACAUGCACGCAGUUUCACUAAUCUUGUUGUAGUCUUAAAUUUCUUUCGUCCACUUCCACAUCUUGUCUGCCUUUUCUGCUCUCUUCCCAUGGACUUGAAAAUAUUUCCUUUUACUACUUCAUCAUUCUUUUCUCUUUUGUCUUGAUGGUCCUUGUCCUGCUCCUCGUCACUCGCCGCCACCUCUCCCUGUCAGCUUUAUUUAUUGGUGAGUUUCAAGACGUGCAAUCCCAAAGCGCGCUCUCUCUCUCUCUCUCUCUCUCUCUCUCUCUCUCUCUCUCUCUGUCGUGUGUGUGUGUUCUGAUUCUGGUAAUGUAACUUUAGAUGAUAUAGACUUCGUUUACAUGAUUUUAGACAAAUUCCUUACUCUUUUUUUCGGAAUCAGAUUCUGAUGAAACUUUUAUCCCACAUUUUUUCUUCACUUUUUUUCUCUCCAUUUUCUCACUCGGUUUUCGUUUUUGCAAGAUACCGAGAGAACAAUAUUUAAUUAAGAAAGGAUAGUUAGUGUACAUGCGUGCCUAUGGAUGGUAUAGUCCAGUAGCAGUCUGAAGAUGAUCGUAUAGUCCUGUAGCAGUCUUAAGAUGAUCAUCCUGUCAUCCACAUCCUCCUUUUUAUUGUCCUCCUUUAGGGAUUCUUGCUUCUUGCACGUAAACGUAUUGUCAUUUACUUCCUCAUUCUUUCUUCGUCUUGAUGUUACUUGUCUUGCUCUUCGUCACACGCCGCCGCCUCGCCACCACGGCUGCUGUUGGUGCUGCCGGCAACUACAUUGGUGAGUUUCAAGGCAAAGCUUUCUCUCUUUCCCGUAUUCUUCACCGCUCGUUUAGGCUACCAUCUAUCUCCUCUCCCCUCCCCUCUCUCUCUCUCUUUUUUUUCUUUCGAGUUACUGUAACUUUACAAAGAUUUAAAAGCCUUCAUUCAUAUUUGUGCAUUUUUGAUUGUGUAAAUUUCUUGGUAUAUUUUUUGUUCGGUUCCAGAUUCCAAUCAGACUUUCAAGUUUUUUCAACCUUUCUCUCUCCAUUUUUCCUUCUCUUCACUCCAAGUUUUUAAUUUUUAAGGCUUUGAAGAAAGAAAUCAAGAUGCCGAUAGAAUAAUGUGUGUGUGUGUGUGUGUGUGCGUGUGUUUGACGAGUAUUGUGCAUUUGCUUAUUGUUUUCUACUAUUUUUGGUUUUCUCUUUUGACGUUCCAUUUUUUUACACUUACCUGUCGAACUUCAUUGCAGUCCUCGUCAUUGCGUUCCCUCAUGCGUCGCUGUCAUGGCACCCUGGAACACUACAGCCACAACUGCUGCUGUCUUUCAUCCUAUAACAGGUGAUGUGUACUACCAGUUCUCAUACGUUAUUCAGCAAGCGAUGUUUUUCUGAAAAUCAUCGUAAUUUUCCGAAAGAAUGAUAGAAUUUUCAGCAAAACCGUGGACAUUAUAUAAUCUUUUCCUAUUCCUGUCCCUAGAUUUAUUUUUCUCUCCCCUUGCAAGUCUACCACCCCCCACCUCCAUCCUUGCGGUGGUAUCUUUCAGUUAA